UCCGUAGGUGAACCUGCGGAAGGAUCAUUAACACUUCUCAGGCUCGGCUUUCCUCACGGGAGGCUGGGACUGGAUGGAUCCACAUCCAUUUACCCCUGUGAACCGUUGAAGUCUUUACUUUAAUGAACUCAAAACGACUGUCUCGAACAGCCUGAAAACAAACCUUUUCGAGCUUGAGACGAAAGCUGGCGCAAGCCUCCUUUUUUCUCCUCGGGAAACAACAACCAAAAACAACUUUCAGCAACGGAUAUCUUGGUUCUCGCAGCGAUGAAGAGCGCAGCGAAAUGCGAAACGUAAUGUGAAUUGCAGGAUUCAGUGAAUCAUCAAAUUCUUGAACGCAAAUUGCGCUCCAUCGCCUCCUGGUGGUGGAGCACGCCUGUUUCAGUGUCUGUAAAACCCCAUCACCCCCCAUCUACUCUUCGGAGGAACUGGGGCGCGUGGUUCAUGGCGGUUGGAAGACCCUUUCAUCCACUGAAAUUGAGAAGGAGCGCGGAAAGCGGACGUCUCAAGCACUUCGGUGUUGGAGAGCGUACGUGGCCCGAGCAUGACGAAGUAGCACUUCACAGUGAUAUCUGAGUCAGGCUUGCGGAUCACGAUCACGUGUGCCGUCUUUCUAACGCCUCCCCUAUUACAGGAAAAAAUUCUCUUACCUUGGACCUGAAAUCAGACGAGACUACCCGCUGAAUUUAAGCAUAUUAAUAAGCGGAGGAAAAGAAACUAACAAGGAUUCCCUAAGUAGCGGCGAGCGAAAAGGGAAGAGCUCAAAUUUAAAAUCUCCGACCCUUCGGCGUCGGCGAAUUGUAGUUUAGAGAGGCGUUUUCUGGCGUUGGGCCGGGCCUAAAUCCCUUGGAACAGGGUAUCAUAGAGGGUGAGAAUCCCGUAUGUGGCUCGGACUCCGACCCUUCAUGUGGCGUCCUCAAAGAGUCGGGUUGUUUGGGAAUGCAGCCCUAAAUGGGUGGUAAACUUCAUCUAAAGCUAAAUACCGGCGAGAGACCGAUAGCGAAAAAGUACCGUGAGGGAAAGAUGCAAAGAACUUUGAAAAGAGAGUUAAAAAGUGCUUGAAAUUGCUGAAAGGGAAACGCUUGAAGU
rnacentral:rRNA from 1 species